rnacentral:rRNA from 1 species
GGAACUAGCAUAUCAAUAAGCGGAGGAAAAGAAACCAACAGGGAUUGCCCUAGUAACGGCGAGUGAAGCGGCAACAGCUCAAAUUUGAAAUCUGGCUCUUUUAGAGUCCGAGUUGUAAUUUGCAGAGGGCGCUUUGGCUUUGGCAGCGGUCCAAGUUCCUUGGAACAGGACGUCACAGAGGGUGAGAAUCCCGUACGUGGUCGCUGGCUAUUGCCGUGUAAAGCCCCUUCGACGAGUCGAGUUGUUUGGGAAUGCAGCUCUAAAUGGGAGGUACAUUUCUUCUAAAGCUAAAUAUUGGCCAGAGACCGAUAGCGCACAAGUAGAGUGAUCGAAAGAUGAAAAGCACUUUGGAAAGAGAGUCAAACAGCACGUGAAAUUGUUGAAAGGGAAGCGCUUGCAGCCAGACUUGCUUACAGUUGCUCAUCCGGGUUUCUACCCGGUGCACUCUUCUGUAGGCAGGCCAGCAUCAGUUUGGGCGGUAGGAUAAAGGUCUCUGUCACGUACCUCCUUUCGGGGAGGCCUUAUAGGGGAGACGACAUACUACCAGCCUGGACUGAGGUCCGCGCAUCUGCUAGGAUGCUGGCGUAAUGGCUGUAAGCGGCCCGUCUUGAAACACGGACCAAGGAGUCUAACAUCUAUGCGAGUGUUUGGGUGUCAAGCCCGAGCGCGUAAUGAAAGUGAACGGAGGUGGGAACCCGCAAGGGUGCACCAUCGACCGAUCCUGAUGUCUUCGGAAGGAUUUGAGUAAGAGCAUGGCUGUUGGGACCCGAAAGAUGGUGAACUAUGCUUGAAUAGGGUGAAGCCAGAGGAAACUCUGGUGGAGGCUCGCAGCGGUUCUGACGUGCAAAUCGAUCGUCAAAUUUGGGCAUAGGGGCGAAAGACUAAUCGAACUAUCUAGUAGCUGGUUCCUGCCGAAGUU